rnacentral:rRNA from 1 species
GCUUACGGCCAUAUCAGCCUGGGUACGCCCGAUCUCGUCUGAUCUCGGAAGCUAAGCAGGGUCGGGCCUGGUUAGUACUUGGAUGGGAGACCGCCUGGGAAUACCAGGUGCUGUAAACA